GCCCGAUCCUUGUUACCUUCAGCAUGGAAUGAAAUCUGCAACAUAUCAAACAUAUAUUGAAGUUGCUAACACUCUGUUAAAUGCAGAUAAGAGUCUCAGCUCAAUACCAAAGUGGCCUUGAUGGACAGGUAAGUGCCUUUGAAAUGUGCCCUUUUUUUUUGCAGCUUUGAGGAAAGCUCUUGAUUUUUCUUAAGCAUUUGCUGCAUACCUUCCUUUUUUCUUUCUUUUCUACAAGACCAUAUUGGAAGGCUUUUGGAUUGAUUGACACAAGAUGGGUAUUUGUUUUCAUCAG
rnacentral:lncRNA from 1 species